rnacentral:rRNA from 1 species
AACGAACGCUGGCGGCAGGCUUAACACAUGCAAGUCGAACGAACUGGGGGCUUCGGUCCCCGAUGCUAGUGGCGCACGGGUGAGUAACACUUGGUAAUAUACCCUUUAGUACGGAAUAACCACAGGAAACUUUGGCUAAUACCGUAUACGCCCUUCGGGGGCAAGAUUUAUCGCUAAAGGAUUAGGCCGCGUCAGAUUAAGUGGUGGGUGAGGUAAUAGCUCACCAAGGCGAGGUUCAGUAGCUGGUCGGGGAGGAGGAUCCGCCACACGGGGACUGAGACCCGGCCUAGACUCCUACGCGAGGGAGGAGUGGGGAAUAUAGGACAAGGGGGGCAACCCUGAUCAAGCCAUGCCGCGGAAGUGAAGAAGGGCUUCGGGAUGUAAAGCUGUUUCGACGGAGGCGAGGAUGACGGUACCGGUAUAAGAAGCCCCGGCAAACUUCGUG